rnacentral:lncRNA from 1 species
AUGCUGAGCUGUAAUCCAGUGCAGACACCAGUGGCCCGAGUAGGGGGAUGUGUGACGGAAGGAAGUGUGACUUUCAGAACAUGCUUAGAAGGCAGAAUCAGUGGGACACGAAAGACUUUCUGUCGACUGGACUGGACUUGGAGGAUCCUGAGGGCCGCCAGAUUUGCUGGGGAUGCUGAAGUGCGCAGGACGCUGGAGGGACGGCCAGCAUGCAGCGCCAGAGGCCAUCAUGGUGUUCUUCUCCUUCUUUACAAGCUGAUGCACAGACGUGUAUUUGAUCUCCCUAAGAGACGGCUCAGAAGAAAAACCAGCAGAGUGGGGCCAUUAUAAAAG